rnacentral:rRNA from 1 species
GAUGAACGCUGGCGGCGUGCCUAAUACAUGCAAGUCGAGCGAACGGACGAGAAGCUUGCUUCUCUGAUGUUAGCGGCGGACGGGUGAGUAACACGUGGAUAACCUACCUAUAAGACUGGGAUAACUUCGGGAAACCGGAGCUAAUACCGGAUGAUAUUUUGAACCGCAUGGUUCAAAAGUGAAAGACGGUCUUGCUGUCACUUAUAGAUGGAUCCGCGCUGCAUUAGCUAGUUGGUAAGGUAACGGCUUACCAAGGCAACGAUGCAUAGCCGACCUGAGAGGGGGGUAAGGCCAACUGGGAAUGGGAAAACGUUCCGAACCCCAAGGGGGGGCACAGGUGGGGAUUUUGCCGAAAGGGCGGAAACCCUAGCGGGCAAACCCGGGUGGGGGGAGAAGGGUCUUCGGAUCGAAAACCCUUUUUUUUGGGAAAAAAACUUUGUCAAAGUAACUGUGCCCAUUUUACGGUAACCAAAUAAAAAAGCCAGGGUAAAUUACUU